rnacentral:rRNA from 1 species
UCGACCUGAGGUCAGGCAAGAACACCCGCUAACGUAUUAA